GUCUUCGUGGCUCAGUUGGUUAGAGCGUUGGUCUCAUAGCGAUGAUCAGGUGAAAUACCUGAGCAAUCCAAAGGUCGUGAGUUCGAGUCUCACCGAGGACA
rfam:Drechmeria coniospora strain ARSEF 6962 chromosome 02, whole genome shotgun sequence.